GAAUAUCUGAACUCCCAACUCCAAUCAAUCACAAUGGGUGAAUUUGCAGGAAGAAAACCUGGCUAUGCACAUCAUAAUGAGACUGUGAACAUCCUUUUUGUGGUAGAAGUACUAGUUGAAAUAGUUGAGGCAGAAUCUCUGCAAGCAUGCUACUUGUGUACUACUUGAAGAUUUCCUUCUCUCCUAACGCAAACUUAUCUACUUUGUAUUCCCAGCACUAAUUCCUUUAGUAAGUUAGUUUCAUUUUUUAUUUAGCCCACUUCCCUGAUAUCCAUGUUUAUGGUAAGCAUGGUGUUAAUUAUGUUAAUGUUUAUGUUUAUAACACCUGAUCCGUUUGUUUCUUUCACAAGUAACAUUUCAAAUUCUUAGCAUAGUUGACAGUUUAUUAUGUUACACUCCCUAGUGCAUUAUAGUCUAUCAACACGGCAAUCCGAACGGUGAGCUUCUUCUUGAGCAUACUCUUGCUUGCUUGCUUACCUAUGUAUUACCUGCAAGUCCAAUGUUGCACCUCUAGUUUUUCAUUUUUUUUUUUUUUUUUUUCUCAAUUGAAUUGAUUUACAUUGGUGUAUGUAAUUUAUGAUCCUCUGUCACAGUGUUCCUUCUCCCCUUACGCAAACUUUGUUUACUUUGUUUUCCCAGCAUUUUGCCUUCUUUAUUAUUUAGAAUAUCUAAUUAAUAUGUCAUUCUUUUGAUUUUUUUCAGAGGACGAGAUGAACCUCUGCAUAUCCUUGUUGAGGCCAAACCUCUGCAAGCCUGUGAAUCAGGAGCUGGUUAAAGAUAUGUUCAAGUCUGUGGACUUCAAUGAGUAACAAAAAUUACAACAGAGUUGUUAAUUCCAAAUGUUACAAUUGGUGAGGAAGCAUAUAUGCCACCCUUCUCACAGCAGCCUUGGUUUAAAGAGAUCAAAGACUGAAGCAAAUAGACACACUCCUCAGCGAGUUUUGGAGCUCUAACUCGUUGAUGUCUCCCAGAAAUAGCAGCUUCAUACCAGAAGUCCGCUUUCAGUCGACUAUGUCUCCAACUGCCAUCUGGGCACUAUCAUAAUUACUUUUGUCUAUAUGAAGUGUGUUAUUUUUUUCUUUUUAGGAGAUGACUACUGACAAAGUCAAGUAGAAAGGGAUCAGUGAAGUUUUGGGACUUUUCGUCUUUCUGUAUUGCUGCUUAAGCAGUUGAUGAUCAGAUUGUUCUCUCUCCAAUUCAAUCUUGUAUUUUGAGCCUAUUCUGAGCUUGCAAUGCCAAUUUAUAUUGUUAAUGACAGCUUUUGCCAUUACCUGUUGUGAAUAUUUGCU